GUGCCAGCCGCCGCGGUAACACCAGCGCCACGAGUGGCUAUCGCGAUUAUUGGGCUUAAAGCGUCCGUAGUCGGCUUCAUACAUCUUCUGUGAAAUUGCAGCGCUUAACGUUGCGGCAUGCGGGAGACACGGUGAAGCUUGAGACCGGGAGGCGUGAAGGGUAUUCCGGGGGGACCGGUAAAAUGGUAUAAUCCCCGGAGGACCACCUGUGGCGAAGGCGCUUCACGAGAACGGAUCUGACGAUGAGGGACGAAAGCCAGGGGAGCAAACCGGAUUAGAAACCCUCGUAGUCC
rnacentral:rRNA from 1 species